CAGGUUAUUUAAUCUCCCCGCCGUUUUAUAUUAAAGGGAUAAUGGUCACAGAGAGGAACCACUGACACUUGUCAGGCUGCUACUGUUGCCUGUUUGCUGGCACAUCAUGCUUUUACGGUGGAUACCCAGUGGUACCUGACAGAAAGAAACAAGGCAGAUUUACUGGGAUCGCUGAAAAAACCCCAUCAUUUGCAGUCCCAAAUUGCAGGACCCUGCAGGUCAGAGCCUGAGCUGGAAGGAGAACUUCAGAGAUGAGAACUCUUGUCUGCUGUUCCCACAAAGCCAAGGAUGAAACUUAGGAACUUUGAUGAUUCCUACUAGAAGAGAAAAUUGGUGUGUCAUGUCUAGUUCUCCCACUGCAAGAAGUUCACAGGACAAAUUAAGCCAUUAAACUAGAACACAAUAAAAUGCUUUGAUAUA